GACAGAGGGUGCAAACGUUGUUCGGAAUUACUGGGCGUAAAGCGCGUGUAGGCGGCCCUGUAAGUCGGGUGUGAAAUCCCACGGCUCAACCGUGGAAGUGCACUCGAAACUACAGGGCUAGAGUCCUGGAGAGGAAGGUGGAAUGCUUGGUGUAGAGGUGAAAUUCGUAGAUAUCAAGCGGAACACCGGUGGCGAAGGCGGCCUUCUGGACAGUGACUGACGCUGAGAUGCGAAAGCGUGGGGAGCAAACAGGG
rnacentral:rRNA from 1 species